rnacentral:lncRNA from 1 species
UACACAUCAUAUUUCAAAUAAAAUAUCUUUAGUUUUGAGAUUUCAUGCAUAUGAUUUGUUUUAUUGUCAUUUUGCAAUUCUGUAAAAACGUCGGAUCGAGAAAUCCGUAUAUGACAGGAUUUACGAUAUUAUUAAUGAUGAAUGUUCUCGCUAGGAUAGGAAAUAUGGCUUUUGUAAGGGGUGUUCUUACAAACCGACCUUUUAUGACAGAUGCAUUAAGUUUUACUGCUACGUACGGCAAGUAACUCAGUAUAAAGCAGAAGCUAAUGACAAAUGCAAUCCGCGUAAUCUUUUUCGAUGGGUUUUUUUCCGACACUGUCUUACGCUUUGCUUUAUGUUGCUUAUUGUUGUAAUUUUUAUUUAUUCCUGGAUUUUUAUUUAUGUCUAUAGCAUUUUUCUCAUCUUCACAUUCGCUUUUUUCAUCCAUUGUGUCGGUGGUAAGGUUUUCACUUGCGGUUGUCUCUGUGGCAACAGACGACGGUGAUACGGAAUAUUUUCUUCGAAAAGAUUGUUGAAAUUUGGUUCGUUCGAGCACUUUUCGUCCAACUAUUGAAUACAUAAUAACAAGUGCAAGCAUACUAGAAAUAUAAACUGUUAACAGGACAGUACUGUAUAUCGUUGUGUAAUUUGUACCGCGAAAUCUGUCAGAAAAGCUGCAAUCAUACCCUGUUAAAUUGUUAUCUAAUUUUUCCAAGCUUAUUCCACUCAACGCUCCCUCCGGCCAACAAAAUAACAAGGCAAUUCCAACUACGAUUGCAAUCGUUAUAUAACCUUGAUUCAUAGUUAGUUGUGAUUUUAGAGGUUGACAUACCCGUCUAAGACGAUUUCCUGACAUCGGAAUUAAAAGAAGGGAUGAUGUCAAGGAUAAAUGUACGCUUACUGAUCUGAAGAUACUACAUCCUGCUGCAGAAUAAAAUGUUAACUGGUGCGUUUGUUGGAACAAUUCAAACGGUAUUGCAACCAAACACACCAGUAAGUCGGUAACCGCUAAAGCCCGAAUGUACAUCCAAUGUGUCCCUUCUCGUCGCCCGUGUGAACCAAAGUACACAAUAAUCACUAGUAAGUUUCCUGGAAUACCAAAGGCCAUCACAACUGAUAAAUAAACGAUUGCAGAUGUUCGUUUUGCUGUUUCUUCAUCAUUGAAGUCGUUAAGCGACAUUUCAACAUUUGUAUAGUUUCCUCCCAUUUUUGCAAUUAUAUAUUAAAAGGAACAGGACUGUUAUACACAAAAAGUUACUCCUUUUUGUUUGAUUAGAAUACGAGUACGAGUAGAUACCAAUAUCAAUUCAAAAUUGCAAAUUUCUUUAAGUUAUGUGCGUGGUAUACAUGCAGUAUAAAGAAAUCACAGUUAAACACGAUCAUAUCUCAAAAGAACUUCCUUCCUAUCUCGAGUUGUUUCAGCAGCCCACUCUACAAUAUUAAUAAAAAGUAAUUUAAAUAAUAGUACAAUUGACAGUGUCCAAAAAGAGGUUUUGAU